AUGAGGCAGAAGACAGAGCCACUGAGCUCACACAGACACGCCCAGUGCCAAGGACCAGAGGGCCUUUGUGGCCUAUGGGUAGGGGACCUAAUUGGUGGGAACAGGUGCAAAGCCAGAGCAUGUGCAGCCAUGGAGACUGAAGAGCAGCACCAAGCUAAGGACAGCUUUACAAAGAGUGUCAGAAGUGUCACUCCUCACAGGAUAUGUACUCUUUCCUCCAGCCAAUAGACUUCUGUGAUAACUUUCCUGGACAGCAGUGGUGAAAGGAAGAAAGAAGAGCAGCCUGCCUCCUGGGAAAUAACACUCUAUCACUCCCACUGUUUAGAAUCACCGGCAUAAGGUGACUAUGCAGAGUAACUUUUAGUUGGUUUUAUUGUUGUUGUUAAACCCUCUAUAGACAAUGCUUCCCUUUAUUGCCAGCAUCUAGGGCCUAUUGCUCUCACUUUCCUGCUCUUGAUAAACCAUCACCAGACCUGCCCAGAUAAUCAGCUCAUAGCAGGAACUGCAUUAAUAAUUUCCCAGGAGGCUUCUCAGUGGCGAUGCAAAUAGUUUUACCAAGACUCAUCCACAAGUGAGCACACAUGCCCAGAUAUGCUUGUUAAGAAAAAUAAUCCAGAACUUGUACAAGAGAGUACACAUAGUCUUUCAAAGACAUACUGGGGUAUAGUUUAACAAGCCCAUCCAAAGACUAUUUAACUGUCUGUGGGAAUGUACCUUUUAUGGCUCUGCUCUUCUACUAUUAAUUAAAUACCCAGACUCCGUGAAGUUACAUGUUAACUUGCAGGUUUUGUCUAGCUGAGAUGCAAAUAAUUCAUGUCCAGUAGAAAAGAUAACCACUUUAAGGCAUAUACUUAGCAGUAUUAUUAUAACUUUCCUUCUUAAAUGCCUAUAAAUACCCAGUUCCUCAAAAUAUUCUUUUAAUCAAAUUUAUCAUCUUAGUGGGGUCAUAAUUAAUGAGUUAAUACAACUUUGACACCAGUCAAAAUGCACCAAUUUGCAAUAGAAGAAUGUGCUGCAGUCACAUCCCAAUUUUUAUAGUGUGUGGCUCAUGUCCACUAGAACUGCUCAAUGUUCUGAAGUUUGGUAGAUGAAGACACAGAUAUUUCUUCUGUUGAAGAUAUUUCUACUUCUUCUCUCCUUCUCACUCCAGCCCUUGUCAAUGCCUCUUCAGAUCAAUGUUUCCCGGUCAGGGCAGGAAAGAGCAACAGAAGAGGGAAAGGGUAAGUUUUGUUCAAUACCUGCACAAAAAAAUUUAAAAUAACAUUUUUGAGGAUGUGAGGAUGAUCUGGCUGCAAUGUCUGUCACCUCGUUGAUCACUAGGGUUGAUUUGUGUGAUCUGCCUGGCUAGGUGGGUGUUCCCUUCCUUUCUCUUCAUUCCAUGUGCAUCCCUUGAGAAGCUGCAUGCUUGGUCAAGGAGGAUGACCCUCCUGGAUAGAGGAAGACCAUUCUUCAGUCAAGGGUUUAAUAGUAGCUGUACACCCCUGCUGGAAUCUCCAAACAAGCUCUCAAGGUCCAUUUGUAGGAGAAUGUAGGGUAGUCAAGCUUCUAAGACUCCAGACACAUCCCAAUGAGAUGCUGCAUGUGGCAGUCUGCCUUUCUUUUAAAAUAAAUAAAAUAAGUAAGUAAAAGAAGUAAAAGAAAAAAAAGUAGUAAGUAAAAGAAGAAAACUUUUGAGUAGAAAGUAUAGGUUUUCCCUGCUGUCUGAAAGUAGAGUGUCAGGAUGCCUGGGUGGCUCAGUGGUUUAGCUCCUGCCUUCAGCCCAGGGCAUGAUCCUGGGGUCCCAGGAUCGAGUCCCACGUCAGGCUCCCUACAUGGAGCCUGCUUCUCCCUCUGCCUAUGUCUCUGCCUCUCUCUGUGUGUGUCUUUCAUGAAUAAAUAAAUAAAAUCUUAAAAAAAUGAAAGUAGAGUGUCCUAUGAACCCUUUCAUAAGUCCAAAUAGUGUAAA
rnacentral:lncRNA from 1 species